rnacentral:rRNA from 1 species
UGGGGAAUCUUGCACAAUGGGGCAACCCUGAUGCAGCGACGCCGCGUGAGCGAUGAAGCCCUUCGGGGCGUAAAGCUCUUUCGGCCGGAACGAUAAUGACGGUACCGGGAGAAGAAGCUGCGGCUAACUACGUGCCAGCAGCCGCGGUAAUACGUAGGCAGCAAGCGUUGUUCGGAGUUACUGGGCGUAAAGAGUGCGUAGGCGGUUUUCUAAGUUCGGUGUGAAAUCUCCCGGCUUAACUGGGAGGGUGCGCCGAAGACUGGGAAGCUGGAGUGUGGGAAAGGCAGGCGGAAUUCCUGGUGUAGCGGUGAAAUGCGUAGAUAUCAGGAGGAACACCGGCGGUGUAGACGGCUUGCUAGACCAUAACUGACGCGGAGGCACGAAAGCGUGGGUAGCAAACA